rnacentral:rRNA from 1 species
UACGAAGGGGGCUAGCGUUGUUCGGAAUUACUGGGCGUAAAGCGCGUGUAGGCGGGCGAAUAAGUCAGGGGUGAAAUGCCAAGGCUCAACCUUUGAAAGCCGGUGGAUACUGUGGGACUAGAGUACGGAAGAGGCGAGUGGAAUUCCUGGUGUAGCGGUGGAAUGCGCAGAUAUCAGGAGGAACACCAAUAGCGAAGGCAGCUCGCUGGGACGUUACUGACACUGAGGCGCGAAAGCGUGGGGAGCGAACAGG